UCUAGAACUUCUUUAAUAGCCUGUAGAGAAAGGCAUCCAGUAACAGGGAGCUGGGAUGCUGAGACCUGCACCACCACCCCCCACCAGGGUGCCCCGUGGACCAGGCUGUCCGUUGAGGGCACCUCCAUGGGAGAGGCAUACACAUGCCUCCCGAGGGGUUCUGCGGUGGCUGGCCCACGGCUGAAGGGACAGCGGGGUGUGACAGAUCUUACCCCGGGUCAAGGGGAGCAUGACCACUCUGAGUAGGGAGGGGUGACCUGGAACGUCCCCAGGUGGGGGCAAGGCGAUGAUGGUCCUCGCAGGAACAGAGCUGUUGUGCACCUGCUGACGGCCCCCUGAUUCUCAGCUGUCGAAAGGCUCUAGGAACACGGUUUGGAAGGCAGAGGGGAGGCAGCUGUCAUUACCCUCAGCGUUCAGACGGGGUCACGGACAAAUACAGGCUGAUUAGAAGAUGGGAACGGAAGUUUCUCGGGCUGUUUCAGGGCCUGGAAGGACCAUGUGUGGGGAACCCCUGGUAGCUGAGAGCGGUCUCGGCCAACAGCCAGCGAGAGGGUCCUAUAAGCACAAGGAACUGAACCCUUCCAACAACCAUGUGACAGAAGAGAUGGGAGCUCCCAACAGGUGCCCCGGCCCAGCACCUGGACAGCAGCCUGUGUGGCCCUGGGUGGACACCCCAUGUGGAUGGGCCUGCAUAGACGCCCUGCACUGACGGCCUGGUGUGGACGCCCCGCGUGGAUGGGCCUGCCUGGAUGGGCCUGCACGGACGGGCCCGAGUGGACGCCCUGCGUGGAUGGCCCUGCACGGACAGCCCGGCAUGGAUGCCCUGUGUGGGUGGCCCAGCGUAGAGGUGAGGUGGCCCAGCCCUCGGGAGGUGAGUUGAGGAUGUAUGUUGUGGUAAAGCCUCUAAUUGUGUGGUUACUUGCUACCCAGUAAUACAGGGCUUGAGCCACGGGCCCGGUGCUGGACACCUAGCGUUAAGAAAAAAAGAUUCAAAAAUGGAUAUGAUGCUAUUGUCAGCAAGGAACAUCCGGGAAAUACGUGGGGAAAUGGUGAAGCUCGUUAAAGUUCUCCUCCAAUUCCAUGGGCUUGAGCAUCCAGCAGUGACCGGCCUUCCUACAGAUCGGCAGCAAACGGCUUCAGAAAACUAACCACCCGCUGUGGUCCCAGCCCAUGGAAGGGAGGGCGUCAGUGGAACAAACAAAAUCUGGAAACAGAAACGAACGACAGAGGAAACAUCAUGAAUCAGUGAGAAGACGGUGACCCAUUCACGAAAGCCUCCCAUGGGCAAAAAUAAAAUAGAAUUAGAGCUUUACCUACAGCAUACGCCAAGAUUGUCGACAAACGAAACCGUAAGACAAAAUGAGGUGAUGGGGAAGGACUCUUCUAGACGUACCGUGUAGAUACGAUGAAGUGAAAGAUGGGCUAAACUUCUUUACAUUUCCGAACGUCUUUAUGGUCAGAGAAACAUCUUUCUGAUCCUGGGGGAUGUCAUUUGCAUCGCGCGUCCCUGAGAAAAAGGAUUAAUACCCACACAACAUGUGAAGAGCUGUACACAAGUCACUAAGAAGAAUGUCAACCACGAGCGCCAAACAGGAAACCGCCGUGUCCUCCUACGAUACGAGUAAGAGGGAGCCGCCCUUUCCAAACAAAUGAGUAUUUGAACGCUGAUCGUGGCAAACACUCUGGGCUGACAACCCGCGUGGGGGACAGUGUGUGGGGCGUGGGGGUCCAGGGCACCGCCGGGCACCAGGGCGUCUGGCAGCUCCAGUUCCGGGUAAGUCCCCCGGGAAGACUCGUACCCGAUACAUGUCCUGUCCUGACGGUCUCCGCAGCGCGGCCAUCACGUCCCGAGAAAGAAACACCGUGGGGGAGCCUGAACAAAUGUCCCCGCUCAAAUAAUCACUUCCUCAUCCCUGGGACCUGUGGGCGUCAUUUAUAUGGAAAGAGGAGGGUGUUAUUUUAUUCAGCAAAGGACGUUAAGUUAGAGAUCUUGAGAAAAGGGGUUUAUUCUGGAGUGUCCAGGGGACCCUGAGUGCAACUGCCCAGGGGGUCGGGGCGAGGGGACAGACCACAGACAGGAGGCCGUGGGACCAAGGAGGCAGAGCCUGGGAGGAUGUGGCCACAAGUCCAGGAGCCCCUGGGGCCCUCAGAGGCUGGAAGGGGAAGGAAGCACCCAGCCCUGGAGUCCCCGGAGGGAGUUGGUCCCACUGGUACCUUGACGUCUGACUCCUGGCUCCAGACUCCCACCGCUUUAAGCCGACUGGCCUGUGGUGACUUAUUACACCGGCCCCGGAGGUGAACAGUGUCCUCAGCGCCUCCCAGCCAGCACGGGGAUGGCCAAACUCGGGUGGGUAUUUUCCUGCACCCCCGCCCCCCAUGUUUCAUCAGAAUUGUAAAAAAAGCCAAGCCCAGUACCUUCUGUCCAUCUUCAGGCAUACAGGUCAUUAACGUAAAUAACGUACGUGCCUAGUAAGGGUGUACUUGUGAUAAAUAAAGGUGCAAGCGUGUGGGACCCCGCACACGGCCGGGAGGGGCCGCCGCGGGGGAGCGGACAGUUCUGGCUCUCAGGAGGCACCAGAGGCCCCCCACUCAGUAAGGACUUACUUGCACAAAUAAAUUAAAAGUCUGAUGGCAAAUGUGUUUGCUCCUCUAAGGUGGAGAGCUCGUGGCUGCUUAUUAUCUAUCCUCUGAUUUCCUUGUAGUUUUAUUUUUUGUUUCCAAAUCAGAAAAGUCAGGAUAAACAAUAUUAAUAAUCGUGCCUUCCUUCCAAGCUGACUCAUUCCUCCGCAGAGCAUUAAAAGCCUCCCACACAGACGUUUUAAAACCACAGCGGCAAGACCCCGGCUUUCUAAUUUUGAGGCCGGGGUGUCAGAACGCGAGCCUGUGUCAAUUGACAUCUCUCUGCCUAAUAGUUUGAACCUAUUGCUUUUUCCAUGUCCUUCUAACGCACCAUCCGUUUUGCGGUUACGUCCCUGAAAACUCUGAUCUCCUAUCACCUCUUCCCCAUUCUUCUUAACUCUUUAAUAAUGAUCCCGGCAAUGGCAUAUCAGAAUGGAAAUUGCUUCUAAAGAACAUUGUAAUAAAUAUAUGUCAGGCAUAUUA